UGAGCCCCAAGCACGAACAAGGUACUGUGCUGCACACCUGAAAGUCACCCAGCUACUCCUUGUAAAGCCAAAUCCCCUUUUGAAAUUGAGCAGUUGACCAAAUUAACUAGGAAACCCUUGACGGCAAGUUACUUCGGGACUGAUAGAAUCACCACAAAUUGAGAUGAGGCAUUCAAGCGGGCUGGACACACUGACACUCGAGCAGUAGGAUCCCUUGAACUGAAGAAAUGAAUAGGAAGAUACAUGCAAUUUAAGAAGAACAUUCAUCAUUAGUACUUGAAGAGACUUGCCUGGUUGGGGCAGAACAGGAUCUGCUAUAGUGCAUGUUACUUGACUGCUCACUGUACGACUUCAAUAAAAUCAAGGUCUUUUCCUGAUGCAAGAAAAUGUUUUCUUGCUGCAAUGGUAAGCUAUUCUGAAUCCAUCUUAUAAUGUGGCUGCUCAUGUUUGGUGCAGACGUAGCGCAUGGCAGGGAGAUAAA